rnacentral:lncRNA from 1 species
AUUCUGAGUCUAAGGCCAGGGGCACAUAUCCUCCUUUACCUCCACACCUGCCAGGUGAAGAAGUUACCACGCUUAACUGCCUCUUUUCUGGACUACCAGAACAGAUUAGCUGGCUGAAAGUUGUCUGCUGAGUUUCUUGUGUGAUUGCUCUCUCUCAGUCACUGCAAUCAAUGGCCUUUCAGUCAACAUUGACAGAUUUGCUGGCAGCCUAAGUGUUUCCAAGACUGAACAUCAGAGCUGAAGAGUGGAGAAGACCCAUCUGGGAGAGGCUGGUCGUUUUCUCAUUUUGUUGAUGAUAUCCACGCGCUAAAUUUGCAAUGAAACAGUAAGUAGG